rnacentral:rRNA from 1 species
CAUUACUGUGUUAAUUGGAUAGGGGUUGAGCUGGCCUUUGUGCACUGUGCUUACCCCUUUCAUUUCUUCUUCUAUACAUACACUGUGUGCACUUUAAAGAGUGAAAAGAGUGGGACGCUACUCAUCACUUUGAGAGGGAGGAGUGGGACGCUACUUAUCCCUUUCAAAUUUACAUUAAUGCCUGUCUAUAUGCAUGUCUUAUAUAUGUGCCCUUAAGGGGGGAAAAUAUAAUAACUUUCAACAACGGAUCUCUUGGCUUUUGCAUCGAUGAAGAACGCCGCGAAUGUGCGAAACGUAAUGUGAAUUGCAGAAUUCAGUGAAUCAUCGAAUCUUUGAACGCAUCUUGCGCUCCUUGGUAUUCCGAGGAGCAUGCCUGUUUGAGUGUCAUGAUAAAUCUCUCAAUGAACUUGUUUUCAUUGGAUCUGGAUGUUGCUGUUGUGGCUCAUCUGAAAUGGAUUAGCUGGCAAGGUCUUUAAGCUAGGUGUGAUAAUAAUGUGAUCACUCAAGCUUUCAAGGUCAUUGACAGCUGAUAAUGGUCCUUCGGGGACAACUCAUGUGGUUUGACCUCAAAUCAGGUAGGACUACCCGCUGAACUUAAGCAUAU